UACGUAGGGCGCAAGCGUUAUCCGGAAUUAUUGGGCGUAAAGAGCUCGUAGGCGGUUUGUCGCGUCUGCCGUGAAAGUCCGGGGCUCAACUCCGGAUCUGCGGUGGGUACGGGCAGACUAGAGUGAUGUAGGGGAGACUGGAAUUCCUGGUGUAGCGGUGAAAUGCGCAGAUAUCAGGAGGAACACCGGUGGCGAAGGCGGAUCUCUGGGCCUUAACUGACGCUCAGGUGCGAAAGCUAGGGGAGCGAACAGG
rnacentral:rRNA from 1 species